rnacentral:rRNA from 1 species
AACGAACGCUGGCGGCAGGCCUAACACAUGCAAGUCGAACGUGAAGCCACCUUCGGGUGGUGGAAAGUGGCAGACGGGUGAGUAACGCGUGGGAAUCUACCCAAUGGUACGGAAUAACUCAGGGAAACUUGAGCUAAUACCGUAUGUGCCCGAAAGGGGAAAGAUUUAUCGCCAUUGGAUGAGCCCGCGUCGGAUUAGCUAGUUGGUGGGGUAACGGCCCACCAAGGCGACGAUCCGUAGCUGGUCUGAGAGGAUGAUCAGCCACACUGGGACUGAGACACGGCCCAGACUCCUACGGGAGGCAGCAGUGGGGAAUAUUGGACAAUGGGCGCAAGCCUGAUCCAGCCAUGCCGCGUGAGUGAUGAAGGCCCUAGGGUUGUAAAGCUCUUUCGGCGGGGACGAUAAUGACGGUACCCGCAGAAGAAGCCCCGGCUAACUUCGUGCCAGCCGCCGCCGUAAUAC